rnacentral:rRNA from 1 species
AGAAUCAACGCUGGCGGCGUGCCUAACACAUGCAAGUCGAACGAGAAAGGGUAGCAAUACCUGAGUAAAGUGGCGCACGGGUGAGUAACACGUGACUAACCUACCUUUUAGUGGGGGAUAACCUAGGGAAACCUGGGCUAAUACCGCAUAAUACCUACGGGUCAAAGCAGCAAUGCGCUGAAUGAGGGGGUCGCGGUCGAUUAGUUAGUUGGCAGGGUAAUGGCCUACCAAGACUGUGAUCGAUAUCCGGCCUGAGAGGGCGCACGGACACACUGGAACUGAAACACGGUCCAGACUCCUACGGGAGGCAGCAGUGGGAAUUUGCGCAAUGGGGGAAACCCUGACGCAGCAACGCCGCGUGGAGGAUGAAGUCCUUGGGACGUAAACUCCUUUCGAUCGGGACGAUAAUGACGGUACCGGAAGAAGAAGCCCGGCUAACUUCGUGCCAGCAGCCGC